CUUGUAGCCACUUCCUAUUUAAGAUGCCCUGCUCUCCUGAUGGAAGUCUGUUACACAAUGUAUGAGAAAAGACAGAUUAACACUAAAAGCUCGCUGAAAGCUGGGAACUCUGGGAAGACCAUGACGGGGCUGCCGUUCAUCCCGCGGCCGCCUGGAGACGCGAGAGAGAAAUCAGACCCACCUGGCAGGAUGGCAAACUGUUUCUGCAGCUCGGAGCCGAUUUCUGCUGCAAACAGAGGAGGAUCCUCCCU